rnacentral:lncRNA from 1 species
GUAUAUACAUAUUGUAUGGUGGAAAGAAUAGGAAGAAAAAUGGGUGGAUAAGAUUAAGAAAGAGAGAGUUAUCAGGAAGUGCAAAAAAGAGAAAAGGAAAAGAAAGAAAAAACAAGAAAGAAAGAGAAGAAGAAAACGUGAAGGAAGAGGAGAGAAAAGAAGAGGAAGGAAGAAGAAACCAUCAUCUCAUCUCCAUCAUCAUCAUUACCAACUUCAUCUCCAUAUCAUCAAUCUCAUCGUCAUCUUCUUGAAUCAAGUGAGUUCUAGUUAGUUUCCUCUCUAGAGUGAGAUUAUCAUGAAAUAGAAUACUAAGGUUUGGUGUUGUUGUCUUG